rnacentral:rRNA from 1 species
UACAUGGGGUGCAAACGUUGCUCGGAAUUAUUGGGCGUAAAGCGCGCGUAGGCGGUUACUUAAGUCGGAUGUGAAAGCCCUCGGCUUAACUGAGGAAGUGCACCCGAAACUGAGUAGCUAGAGUACGAAAGAGGGUCGCGGAAUUCCCGGUGUAGAGGUGAAAUUCGUAGAUAUCGGGAGGAACACCAGCGGCGAAGGCGGAGACCUGGGCCAAUACUGACGCUGAGGUGCGAAAGCGUGGGGAGCAAACAGG